CGCGCUUUUUUUUCCAUACAGGCAAUAUGAUGAUAUUUCCAUUUCCAAAAAUAUUGAUAAUUUACAUGUUUAUUUUUGUAAAUACAUGAACAUACCUUCGCCUAUCGCGUUACCUUAGAUAACAUUAUUCAUUAUAUUUUAUCUGAUUUCCUUUAACCUGUUUCCCAGCUCGCCCUACUAUCAUUAAUUAGGCUUCACUAAUGUACUCCCAAUGUAUAUAAUAAGUGACACCUGGUUUUUUUCCAUUGCAUCUACCACAUAUUCAAAUAUUGUAUAUAUAACAUAUGUUUUUAAAAUAGAGAAGUGUAUAUGAAUAGCGAUAUCGCUAAUGAAUAUUUAAAUUUAAGGUUCAAGUGUAUCAUUGUCAAUAAUUUCAUUUAUUUGAUGGCAUUCGGAUAUUGUUUACAUUUUAUGAUUAACAAUGUGUUUUGUUCUUUUUCAAUCCGUGUGAAAUAAAACUAUUUUUAGGAACGUUGUAAAAUAUUAAAACUAUAUUUUUCAUAAUUAUCAAAAACGAAUUAAAAACCAACCAUACACUGAGUACAUGACACUUGAUGUUACCCCUUUUAAUUGUUUUUCGUUUUAAUAAGUUAUUAGAUGAAGUCAUUAAUCUAUCAAGUUUAUGUUUGGUGUCAGAAACUGUAGUAUAACUUUACUUGUACAUAUUGCUCACGUGUUCUGAAAAUGAAACACUUUUAUUUGCAAUUCGAGUCGCUUUUCCUGUUUUAUCUGAAAUAUGUCGCCUAUGAUUUAUAAACAGGAUAUCAUAUGUACAAUACAUGUAGGGUGUUUUCGGUUCACACCUCGUCGACUUUUGUUCGUUUUCGUGAACAGCUUAGGUGUCAUUUUGCGUUGGCGGUCUUUAAAUAGUACGGUGGCUACCCAAAAACUAAUAUCACACAACGGAGACAUGUCGCAUGCUUUCCUGAUCAUUAAAAGUGUCAUUUUACAGUAUGCCUUACAGUGCUAUUGGAGUAAUCUCCCGUGCAAUGUCCACAAAAAUAGUUUUGACGUGGGAUUGAAGUUUCAUAUUAAUUUGAUUCGAUAAUUUUAUAAAACGAUGAACGUAAUGGAGAAAAUAAAAACAUAAAAAAAAAAAAAAAAAUACCAAGGAAUAGAUUUUAGAAAUUUCUAAAAUGAUAAUUAUAUAAAGUGAAGAGUCGUAUUCCAGUCACACACUGCUGGUGUAAUGACGUGUAGAUCUCGGUAACCGCUGUAUUGAAAACAUUAUAUCUACAGUCACAGCACGCACAGGUAUGUAAAGAUAUGAAUAAGACAACAAUAAGUUUUAAAUAGACGAUCGUCAAUAUGCUGUACGAACGUCUGACUUAUGAUAGAUUGAAUGUUUCUGUGUAAGUCUGUAAUAGGAGUGAUGAGUCAUUCGACCCAUUGAGUUGAAGGUAUAGAGGAUAUCUAACAGUGUCUUCAGUAAUACCAAAUAUAUUUCACGAGUGGGGCAUUUUCUAAUCAUUAAUUUGAUUGGUCAAAUCAGCAAAAGUGAUAUUUUUCACUAGUGAAGUGAAAAAUAUCACUUUUAUAGAAUGAACAUUUUUUGAUAUUUCACUGGUAAAAAUGUAAUAAAAUAUUCUAUCCUAGUGUAAAUUUCUUUCUUUUUCUUUCUAAUUGAAUUGAGGCAGGUAUUGGAGUCCUUCGGCGAAGAAAAUUUGUAUUAGGAACAAACUAAUUAAUGUUUCAGUAUGUCGGGUAGUGAUGUUAAUACUAUUAUACAACUAUGAUAUAACAGGCAAAAAUGGUUCGAUCCUGGAGUCUGAUGAGACGGGGUUCCGAGUACCCGAGAUAGAGCCAUGUUAUAAUUAGCUAAAUUCUGUUUUAAAACGCUACUCUAUAGAACUAUACUAUAAUACUAUAAUUAGGGAAAGCCUCGGGUAUUGGUGGUAUAAGUCACCACAUGCUACGUUAUAUAGCUAAAAUUACAUGUAAGUCUUUACAAAAGUUAUUCGAUAAAUCAUGGUCAGAAUUUAUAUAUCCAUAUCUGUAGAAACAAGCUAUAGGCAUUGUGGUAUGAAAAAGAGAUGAAAAGGACUUGCCAUCUAAUUAUAGGCCUAUUUCUUUACUAUCAGUAGUAGGCAAAGUCUUGGAAAGUGUUAUUGUAAAACAUUAUUAUUUCAUUGAAAAACUUUUUUUAACUAAGCAAUCAGGGGUGUAUGCUAAGUCAUUCUACAGUUCAUCUGUUAAUUGAAAUUUAUCAUAAUAUUUGUUUGAAUAUGCGAGAGAAGAAACAUACCUGUAUGAUUUUUGUGAUAUCUCUAAAGCUUGUGAUAGAGUUAGGCAUAUAGGUCUGAUACGAAAAGCUAAAAGAUAUCGUAUUUCGGGUAAUAUUUUAAAAUUGCUAGAAAAUUACAUUGAGGGCAGAAAGCAAAAAGUUUUUAUCAAAGAAUCGAAAUAGGAUGUGAAACUUUAAUGAGUAGACGAGACAGGAGAAAAAUACGUACCAACACCUUCAUACCUGUAUACAUUAUUACCUCGUUUAGUUGGAGAAAGAACCCAAUACUUUUUGAGAAAUAAUACCAAUUACACUAUUUCAAAUUGUAGUCUUACAAGUACAAAGAUUUUAUUACAUUGUUACAUGUGAAAAUCGAAUAUUGUUCCUUCUAUAAAAGUGAUGUUUUUCACAAGUGAAAAAUAUCACUUUUUUUAUUUGACCAAUCAAAAUACUGCUUACAAACGACAAUAGGUAAAAUAAAAAAACUGACCCGGUAUAGUCUGCUAUGAAAUGUAAUAAACAGAAUAUCUAACAGUAUAUUCAGUAAUAUCAAAUAUAUUUCACCCGUGUAGCUAAAAAAAAAAUCACUCGUGCUGCGUACUCGUGAAAAAUAUCAAAACAUUAACCCCACUCGUGAAAUACAUCUGAUAUUACUGGAGACACUGUUCGACAUCUUCUACAUCUUUUAUACCAACAGCCACCAGACUCUGAAUAGCCCCUCGGAAACUAGCCAACUCUUACUUUUAAAAAUUCUUUACAUAAAUAUCGCAAAUAUACUCCGCUUCUUUUUUUAACCACGGACAAGGUUAUCUUAAUAUUCUACUUACUAAGCUAAGACACAAUUGUAGUACAUGAAACCAUAAUCUUGAUCGUGUAAAUUUAACUAAUUCUCUUUCUUGUGCUUGUACUGUAGUUAUCCCUGUAAAAAAAUUGUAUCAUUUUUUUGGAAUGUCCACUUUAUAUCAACAUACGAAUGAUGUGUCAGUAUCAACAUUACAUCUUGAUAUGUUUUGAAAAUGUUGAUCUGACAUUAGAAUAGAAUAACGUUAUUUUUGAAGCUGUCCAAAUAUUUAUUCGAAAAAGUGAUAUGUUUUAUAUAUAGUGUUGAAGAGCAGGUAAGAUUACCCAAUAAACUAUCCUCUUAUUCAGGUAAGAUUACCCAAUAAACUAUCCUCUUAUUCAGGUAAGAUUACCCAAUAAACUAUCCUCUUAUUCAGGUAAGAUUACCCAAUAAACUAUCCUCUUAUUCAGGUAAGAUUACCCAAUAAACUAUCCUCUUAUUCAGGUAAGAUUACCCAAUAAACUAUCCUCUCUGUAUUUCUAUAUAACCUACCAAUCCAAUCACUACCUUUUCUCAAACAUCAUGUCACAAGCUAAAUAAACCAGACAUAAUAAUACUCUUAUUUCUAUUUCUCUAUGCUAAUUAUGUUUUAAGAUAAGAACACAAAAUGGAAUUGAACCAUGGAACGGUCUCUAGGAGGAGCACGAGUGUACAGUAGUACACGGACAAUUUGAACAGAGAAAGUAGCUGGAGUGUGUGGCUAGUAUGUACCAAUAUUAUAUUUUAUAUAUUAUACAUUAAUUAUUAUACAAUAUAUUGUUAUAAAUCAUAAGAAUUGCUGUAUGAUAUCACUGCCAUUUCCCUGCACUUUCACUAUUUCCGUCUUUCUCUCCAUUGAAUUCCAUAUUCAUUUCAUUGGAUACAAUGUACACAUAUGUCUAUUGUUUCUGUGACAUUGCUGAAAUAAUUGUGGAGGAGAGGGCUUCUAUAAGUUGCAAUAACUUGUGCCCUAUCAUUUUGCUUGCUUUUAAGAAGCAAUGAAAUACAUGCAUGUUUAAACAAACUUUAGAAAUUGGGAUGGUAGGCUUGGAAAUCAUUUAUUACGGGGAUACGACACGGUCAGGAAAUCGUAACUUCCGGUAUCACCCGGUGGAAAUGGUGUACCGAUUGUCAUGAAAGUUGAGGUGAGUGAUUUUUGCGCCGCCAUUUGAUUUUUGUUUUUGCAAAAAUUAUCUAGACAUCUAGGCUUUUAGAAAAAAAUAACAUGCACUUUUUCAAAAAAGCGAUUAUUUCAUAAUAAGGAUGAGUGGUUGCAGGAGAAUCCUAGUAUAGUUGAGAGACUCUACCGACAUGUUAAGAAUAUAUUUAUGAGGGCAUUUAUAUUUCACCAAGAUAUGGAAAUUGAAUUGUUUUUGCCAAAAAGAUAUUUUGUCAUCAAUGAAAUCCUUAAACCUUUUUUGUAGUGAUAUAUUGUGAUAAAUAGAACAUUAUGGAAGAAUAAUAAAAAAUACCUUACAAUGGAAAAAUAAUGCAA